AUAAAAGCGAUGAAAGAGAAAUAGUAGAAUUUUACGGUAACUUUUAGAAAGCAAGGGAAUCCUGAAAACCUGCAGAACGUAAAAAAAUCGAAAUACCCUCUGGAGCUUCUCGCACUAAAUGCGGGACGGAAUGCCUCCGUUAUCAAAGGCUAAAGUGUCACUGCAAAGUCAAGCACUUGAAUCAACAAGCAGGUAUAAAAUGAUUAAAUGCAGGACACUCCAUAAUUGGAGUGUUUUUUGUACCUGAAAUUAAAGGUGGUACCACGAGUUCAUUAAAAGCUCGUCCUUAAA
rnacentral:ncRNA from 1 species